CCACUCUAUAAUUCCUCUCU
rnacentral:sRNA from 1 species